UUAACAAGCAUUAAGAAGCAUUGCCUGAGGUACUAUAUUGGAAACAUAAGGAAUGUAUCUUUCAUAUCAGUGAGAAUUACUUUUUAUGUUUUUUAAAGUUACUACACACCUUGUAGGGUUAGUGUUCCCACACGGCCAUAUCUCCAUGUUACAGAGCUUGUUGAUGGAAGACAUUGGCCGCCACCUGUGAAAAUUGGCUAUCUAGCGUGCUCCGAACACCUGUGUGUAAGAUAACUGAGGAGGAAGUGUAGUUCAUAAACUGGGGGCGCACAAAGUGUAUGGAUCUGUGUAAAACUACUAAAACCAUCACACUGAACGAUUGCUGGCUUUAUCUCGUGUGGUGCAGGGACAGAUGGGGAGCUUUGGACUUUCGUUUUCUGCCAUUCUGAAGACGUAUGAUGAAAUGCAAUCAAGGGAUGUGAAUGUCAGUCGAACUGCUGCCCUUCAUUGUCUCCCAGCACUACUUCUUGAAAGCGACUCAGAGGUGUUCAAAACCUGCAAGGAACGUGAGUCAAGAAAUCCUGGUGUCCUCAUUGGUCCAGUCUGCAUACCUGCUAUCGUCUCUGAUGAUGAAGAUGCAGUCGCCCUUCAGCCUCACCAAGUCUCCAUCAUCCACGAAGAUAGAGUGGUGAUGCACAGCUUCCAAUCCUGGCCAGAUGCUUUUCUCGCUCUAAUUGGCCUGGUUUAUGGUCUACAUCUGGAUUACCCAAAACCCAUGUCCAGCUCAUUUCUAUUCAUUCAGAAAGUGUUCCUUAAUGUUGAUUGCGAAAAGCUCAAAUCAAGUUUUGGCCUUGAAAAAAUAAACUGUAACCUAAUUUUAACCUGUUUUCAGCUCAAAUGUGCCUGUGGUAAGA